UGCUGGAAUUCGCCCUUCGGUUGAUCCUGCCGGAGGUUACUGCUAUCGGAGUACGUACUAAGCCAUGCAAGUCAAAUGUUCUUCGUGAACAUGGCGGACUGCUCAGUAACACGUGGAUAACCUGCCCUUAGGUUCGGCAUAACUCCGGGAAACUGGAGAUAAUUCCGAAUAGGUCAAAUAUGCUGGAAUGCUUUUUGGCCAAAAGACUUCGGUUGCCUAAGGAUGGAUCUGCGGUCUAUCAGGUUGUAGUGGGUGUAACGUACCUACUAGCCUACGACGGAUAUGGGUUGUGAGAGCAAGAGCCCAGAGAUGGAUUCUGAGACAUGAAUCCAGGCCCUACGGGGCGCAGCAGGCGCGAAAACUUUACAAUGCGGGAAACCGCGAUAAGGGGACACCGAGUGCCAGCUUUUAUGUUGGCUGUCCACAUGUGUAAACGGCAUGUGUUAGCAAGGGCCGGGCAAGACCGGUGCCAGCCGCCGCGUUAACACCGG
rnacentral:rRNA from 1 species